rnacentral:rRNA from 1 species
AUUGAACGCUGGCGGCAGGCCUAACACAUGCAAGUCGAACGAGUGGCGGAAGGGUGAGUAAUGUCUGGGAAAUUGCCUGAUGGAGGGGGAUAACUACUGGAAACGGUAGCUAAUACCGCAUACCAUCGGAUGUGCCCAGAUGGGAGUAGCUAGUAGGUGGGGUAACGGCUCACCUAGGCGACGUUCCCUAGCUGGUCUGAGAGGAUGACCGGGCACACUGUGGCUGCGACACGGUCCCAACUCCUACGGGAGGCAGCAGUGGGGAAUAUUAGACAAUGAGCGCGAGCCUGAUGCGGCCAUGCCGCGUGUAUGAAGAAGGCCUUCGGGUUGUAAAGUACUUUCAGCUGGGAAGCGUUACCCACAGAAGAAGCACCGGCUAACUCCGUGCCAGCGGCCGCGGUAAUAC